CAGUAGCCGCGGUAACACGGAGGGUGCAAGCGUUAAUCGGAAUUACUGGGCGUAAAGCGCACGCAGGCGGUCUGUCAAGUCAGAUGUGAAAUCCCCGGGCUCAACCUGGGAACUGCAUUCGAAACUGGCAGGCUAGAGUCUUGUAGAGGGGGGUAGAAUUCCAGGUGUAGCGGUGAAAUGCGUAGAGAUCUGGAGGAAUACCGGUGGCGAAGGCGGCCCCCUGGACAAAGACUGACGCUCAGGUGCGAAAGCGUGGGGAGCAAACAGGAUUAGAUACCCCGGUAGUCCCUGUCUCUUAUAC
rnacentral:rRNA from 1 species